rnacentral:rRNA from 1 species
AUGGGGAAUAUUGGACAAUGGGCGCAAGCCUGAUCCAGCCAUGCCGCGUGAGUGAUGAAGGCCUUAGGGUAGUAAAGCUCUUUCACCGGUGAAGAUAAUGAUGGUAACCGGAGAAGAAGCCCCGGCUAACUUCGUGCCAGCAGCCGCGGUAAUACGAAGGGGGCUAGCGUUGUUCGGAAUUACUGGGCGUAAAGCGCACGUAGGCUGAUAUUUAAGUCAGGGGUGAAAUCCCGGGGCUCAACCCCGGAACUGCCUUUGAUACUGGGUAUCGUGAGUAAGGAAGAGGUCAGUGGAAUUGCGAGUGUAGAGGUGAAAUUCGUAGAUAUUCGCAGGAACACCAGUGGCGAAGGCGGCUGACUGGUCCAUUACUGACGCUGAGGUGCGAAAGCGUGGGGAGCAAACAGGAUUAGAUACCCGAGUAGUCC